GGACUACUUUCUAAUUCAGAUAAAACUUGCUGCGAUAGCUACGCUCAUCUCCUCCGUGGAAGCCUCCACGUUGUUUGGACUGAACAGUCGCUUCUCAUUGGUUCACACCUAAACCCG